rnacentral:rRNA from 1 species
GGACGGUCGGUUCGCCGCUUGUCGGUGCUCAACUGGCCGGUCCGGACGUCCUGCCGGUGGGGCCGCGAGGCCCCGUUAUCCUUCUUUGGUCCUCUUCACCGAGUGCCUUGGUGGGCCGGCACGUUUACUUUGAACAAAUUAGAGUGCUCAAAGCAGGCCGUUGGUCGCCUGAAUACUGUGUGCAUGGAAUAAUGGAAUAGGACCUCGGUUCCAUUUUGUUGGUUUUCAGAACUCGAGGUAAUGAUUAAUAGGGACGGACGGGGGCAUUCGUAUUGCGACGUUAGAGGUGAAAUUCUUGGAUCGUCGCAAGACGAACCGAUGCGAAAGCAUUUGCCAAGAACGUUUUCGUUGAUCAAGAACGAAAGUUAGAGGUUCGAAGGCGAUCAGAUACCGCCCUAGUUCUAACCAUAAACGAUGCCAGCUAGCCAUCCGCCGAAGUUCCUUCUAUGACUCGGCGGGCAGCUUCCGGGAAACCAAAGCUCUUGGGUUCCGGGGGAAGUAUGGUUGCAAAGCUCAAACUUAAAGGAAUUGACGGAAGGGCACCACCAGGAGUGGAGCCUGCGGCUUAAUUUGACUCAACACGGGAAACCUCACCAGGCCCAGACACCGGUAGGAUUGACAGAAUAAGAGCUCUUUCUUGAUUCGGUGGGUGGUGGUGCAUGGCCGUUCUUAGUUGGUGGAGCGAUUGUCUGGUAAUCNGAUACAACGGAUCGC